AUGCAGGGCAAUCUGUCUUUAAGUAGGGGUAGAUAACUCUAAAAGAAAUGAAUCCUAGAUAGUUUUCCCUUCAAGUCAAGCGUCUUGU
rnacentral:pre_miRNA from 1 species